AAGAAAUGAAUCAGUUGAUUGAACUUUAAGCAAGUUUUUGUUCUUCGCAGAAGAGAAUAAUAAUAAUAAUAAUUGAGGAUAUUAAAAAUAUAAUUCUCUUUAUAGGAACGACAUCUUCAGCGAGUCCAACAACAUCAGGAGUGACUACUUCGACAAGCCCAUCAACAACAGGUCCAACUCCUCCACCACCUGUUUCUACCACAGG